rnacentral:rRNA from 1 species
GAGCGGCAGACGGGUGAGUAACGCGUGGGAACGUGCCCUUCGGUUCGGAAUAACUCAGGGAAACUUGAGCUAAUACCGGAUACGUCAGGAGAAAGAUUUAUCGCCGAAGGAUCGGCCCGCGUAAGAUUAGCUAGUUGGUGAGGUAACGGCUCACCAAGGCUCUGAUCUUUAGCUGGUCUGAGAGGACGAUCAGCCACACUGGGACUGAGACACGGCCCAGACUCCUACGGGAGGCAGCAGUGGGGAAUAUUGGACAAUGGGCGCAAGCCUGAUCCAGCCAUGCCGCGUGAGUGAUGAAGGCCUUAGGGUUGUAAAGCUCUUUUGGCAGGGACGAUAAUGACUGUACCUGCAGAAUAAGCCCCGGCCAACUUCGUGCCAGCAGCCGCGGUAAUACGAAGGGGGCUAGCGUUGCUCGGAAUCACUGGGCGUAAAGCGCACGUAGGCGGGUCGUUAAGUCGGGGGUGAAAUCCUGGAGCUCAACUCCAGAACUGCCUUCGAUACUGGCGAUCUUGGAGUCCGGGAGAGGUGGGUGGAACUGCGAGUGUAGAGGUGAAAUUCGUAGAUAUUCGCAAGAACACCAGUGGCGAAGGCGGCUCACUGGCCCGGUAC